rnacentral:rRNA from 1 species
AUGAAGAAUGCUUCCUACUCAAUUGUAUCCUGGAAUGUCCGUGGUUUAGGUGACAAUGACAAGUGCGCGAACGUGUUCUCUGAAAUAAACUGCUUGCGGCCGUCCAUAGCCCUUCUUCAAGAAACCAAAUUACAAAAACCAGACACAAUCAAGCUUCGAUCGAUCUUGCCACAUUUCCUAGACUCGAACAAUCACCUGGACGCUUCUGGAACUGCGGGCGGAAUUCUUUCGGCCACAAACUCCCGAUGCUUCUCGCUCAUCAAUUGCCAACACAAACGCUUCACAUCUACCUUAACUCUAUCUUGUCUUGCAUCGCCACACAACAUCUUCGUUACAAACGUAUAUGCUCCAUCGCAACGUGAUCUAAAGACGAACUUCCUUGACGAACUAAAACUAAUUGAACCACCAGCGCAAUCACCUUGGCUCCUGAUUGGAGACUUCAACAUCACUAGAUUCCCCCACGAACGUAACAACAGCAACUUUCGACGAUCAGAGGCUGACGCUUUCAACGAUGCAAUCGACAAACUUGCCCUCUUAGAGCUUCCAUUACUUGACAGAGAGUUCACCUGGUCAAAUAAA